UACGGAGGGAGCUAGCGUUGUUCGGAAUUACUGGGCGUAAAGCGCACGUAGGCGGCGAUUUAAGUCAGUGGUGAAAGCCCGAGGCUCAACCUCGGAACUGCCAUUGAUACUGAAAUUCUUGAAUGUAGUUGAUGUGGGCGGAAUGUGCCAUGUAGCGGUGAAAUGCUUAGAUAUGGCACAGAACACCGAUCGUGAAGACAGCUCACAAAACUAUUAUUGACGCUCAGGCACGAAAGCGUGGGGAUCAAACAGGAUUAGAAACCCGUGUAGU
rnacentral:rRNA from 1 species